GCCGGAGUGGUGAAACUGGUAGACGCGCCGGACUCAAAAUCCGGUGGGCCGCAAGCCCGUGGGGGUUCGAGUCCCCCCUCCGGCACCA
rnacentral:tRNA from 1 species